UGGAGCUCCGAAGAAAACCUCAUCAAUCGCCACCUCCCCCGAUCGCCGCGACCGAUUCGGUUGCGUUGCUUACUUUGGGUUACAAUGUGCCAUCAAAGUUCUUGUGAACAUUUUUCUGAUGAAGAUGCAACUGCAGCAGAAGAGAAUCUCCUGGUGUAUUGCAAGCCUGUUGAGCUAUACAAUAUUCUACACCGCCGUGCCAUACAUAAUCCUUCUUUCCUCUGGAGAUGUUUGCGUUUCAAAUACAAGCAAGGCAUAAGCGUAAUAAGAGGUGAGAAUUUUCACCCAACUACAAACUAGGCUACUAUCCCUCAAUCAUCGCUAAGGGAUCUUUGUGUUGAUUUUUAUUUUAUUUUCCAGUUAUAUUCUUUGAAAUUACCGUACUUUAGUGCUUCUAGUGGCUAUUCCCUCAGUGCUUCUGUCCAAGCUCAUGCUCUUCUAUGUAAUUUUGAUACCCUGAAGAGGAGUUUGUGUGUAUUUACUAUUCCGUAAUUUAUAGGAAUAUUUCAUGGGCCUUUGGUUACAUAUAGGGAAAUGUUAUUGCUUAUAUGGGCUUUUGACACAAGAGAAACAAAAUGUACAAAGUCCUUGUAUUUGUGGCUAUUUCUAAAAAAGAAUGGUAAAUCAAGCUCGUUUGUGAUCGAAUGGCUUCUAAAGACCUCUUAAGGUGGCGGUUUUUAUGUUGUUGCGGUUGUUGGUUCCUUAUUUUGAUGCACAAGUAGCAGGGCAUGCAACA